GUGUCAGCAGCCGCGGUAAGACGAAGGAUGCAAGCGUUAUCCGGAUUCAUUGGGUUUAAAGGGAGCGUAGGUGGCUUUGUAAGUCAGUGGUGAAAUCUUCUCGCUUAACGAGAAAACUGCCAUUGAUACUGCAGAGCUUGAGUACAGUUGCCGUUGGCGGAAUAUGACAUGUAGUGGUGAAAUACAUAGAGAUGUCAUAGAACACCGAUUGCGAAGGCAGCUAACGAAACUGUAACUGACACUGAGGCUCGAAAGUGCGGGGAUCAAACAGGAUUAGAUACCCUGGUAGUCCGCACUGUAAACGAUGAUUACUCGCUGCUGGAGGGCAACUUUCAGUGGCUUAGCGAAAGCGAUAAGUAAUCCACCUGGGGAGUACGCCGGCAACGGUGAAACUCAAAGGAAUUGACGG
rnacentral:rRNA from 1 species